rnacentral:rRNA from 1 species
GAUUUCUGACAUGAUAUACCUAGCCCGCUGGCGUUAUGCUUGCGUGUGCUUGGGUUUUGUAUCUGUCAUCCUUUCUAGAAGAUACUACUACCCUUUACGGGGCUGGUAGACAAAUAUCGUCUAGAUCUUUUACUUUGAAAAAAUUAGAGUGUUUCAAGCAGGCGUUAUUUGCUAUGAAUACAUUAGCAUGGAAUAAUCAACUAGGACUUCGGUGUUCAUUGGCUGUGUCAAAGCAGUCAUAAGUUGUUGGUUUCUUUACUAUAACUGAAGUAAUGAUUGAUAGGGAUAGUUGGGGGUGCUCGUAUUCAGCGGCCAGAGGUGAAAUUCUCGGAUUCGCUGAAGACGAACUAAUGCGAAAGCAUU